rnacentral:lncRNA from 1 species
UGAGUGCUUCAAAUAACGUGGAACAGUUAAGUCGAAUCCAAUAUUACUAGUUGGAUUAAUUACUCCCUGCAUCAAAUUAAUGGUCUACGUUAUAAAUACUACAAUACGUUCCAUUUCUAAAAUCAGUACAAUCAUUUAAUUUUCGUGUUUAUUUCAGGAGUACUACGUAUGAUACAAAAAAGGAAUUUUUAAGAAUAUACUAAAAGCUGUGCUAUUUCAUUGGUUGAAAAAUGAAAAUUCAUUC